ensembl:snoRNA
GCACGGGUUGGAUUUAUGGCAGGCCUGUCCCUCUGGGCCUUUCAUACUGUCCUAUGCCAGAGCAAACUGUGGUUCUGAACCAUUGCCUGGCCUAUGGGCUACUGGCACUGAAGGGGGUUGCACAGAG